rnacentral:rRNA from 1 species
UACAGAGGGUGCAAGCGUUAAUCGGAAUUACUGGGCGUAAAGCGCGCGUAGGUGGUUUGUUAAGUUGGAUGUGAAAUCCCCGGGCUCAACCUGGGAACUGCAUUCAAAACUGACAAGCUAGAGUAUGGUAGAGGGUGGUGGAAUUUCCUGUGUAGCGGUGAAAUGCGUAGAUAUCUGAAGGAACAUCAGUGGCGAAAGCGGCCGCCUGGACCUGACCUGACGCUGUGGCGCGAAGGCGCGGGGAGCGAACGGG